rnacentral:rRNA from 1 species
UACGUAGGGUGCAAGCGUUGUCCGGAAUUACUGGGCGUAAAGGGCGCGUAGGCGGCGCGGUAAGUCACUUGUGAAAUCUCUGAGCUUAACUCAGAACGGCCAAGUGAUACUGCAGUGCUAGAGUGUGGAAGGGGCAAUCGGAAUUCUUGGUGUAGCGGUGAAAUGCGUAGAUAUCAAGAGGAACACCUGAGGUGAAGACGGGUUGCUGGGCCAACACUGACGCUGAGGCGCGAAAGCCAGGGGAGCAAACGGG